GGCCUCGGGUGUUAACCGGACGAUGCUCGAACCAAUUUUAGAUUUUUUGAAGAGUAGCUGUUGCACCAGGCUUCUGGUGUAAUCGCAGCUGUGGAGGGCUAGCUGCAGGUGCGAGCUCACAUAAGCGAGCCCAAAGCUCACAGAAGCGGCCAAGUGUUGGCAGAGCAGAAGUCGCAGGUAUGGAUGAGCUGGUGGCAGAUGCACGACCGCAGGAGGGGUCCAUAGUCCGCAGAAGCAAGAGCCAACGCAGGUGCGGCGCAUGCACCGCAGAAGCGGUCUCGCAGGUGCGAGCCGCUGACCGCACAAAUGGGCGAGCCGACUAAGAAGGAGAGCCGAUGCAAGGUAUUUUCCGCAGAUGCAGAGCUGCGGAAGCAGCUUGCGAGCCGCAGAAGCGAGAGGGCUAUUUGGGCAGAACGUUUAAAGGAACGGGAAAACAGCCAUUUUAGCCCAUUUUCCUCCAUUUUUGGGCGAUUUUGGAGCUUUUUGAGAGGGGAUUUCAACUAGCAACUUGAAGAAUUUCAGACUUUAACGCGACAUUGUGAUCGAAAAGUGGACUUUAAGACAAGGAUCUAAGACAGGGAUCAUAGGAAGACCUACCGAUGCGCACCCACGCUAUCCUAAGGCCUAGUGGUGAGAUGCUUCUUCUGAGUCAUUCUGCAGCACCUAGUGUCUCCUUUUGUAUUUGUUUCUGUCUAUUUUGUGUUCAGACAGUAUUUUGGAUUUCUUUUGAAAAAUCAACUAGAUGCUCAUACACUUGUGACACCAGGUCUUGGCACACACUUGUAGAAAUGGGGUUUGAAUUAUUAUCUUGGUUUUCAUUUAAUUA